rnacentral:sRNA from 1 species
UCUCGUUCUGGUCGGCGCCGUCUACGA